UGACUGUAGGUGAAAGCUUACAUCUCUUCGGAGCAUUUUACGUAGGUGCUGCAUGGUUGUCGUCAGCUCGUGCCGUGAGGUGUCGGGUUAAGUCCCAUAACGAGCGCAACCCCUACCUUUAGUUGCCAUCAGGUUAAGCUGGGGACUCUAAAGGAACUGCCUACGCAAGUAGUGAGGAAGGCGGGGAUGACGUCAAAUCAGCACGGCCCUUACGUCCAGGGCUACACACGUGCUACAAUGGCCGAUACAGAGGGCAGCUACCUGGUGACAGGAUGCAAAUCUCCAAAGUCGGUCUCAGUUCGGAUCGGAGUCUGCAACCCGACUCCGUGAAGUUGGAUUCGCUAGUAAUCGCGCAUCAGCCAUGGCGCGGUGAAUACGUUCCCGGGCCUU
rnacentral:rRNA from 1 species